GAAGAUUUUGAUAAUAGGCUUGUCAAUCAUUUUGUGCAGGAGUUCAAAAGGAAGCAUAAGAAGGAUAUUAGUGGCAAUCCCAGGGCGCUAAGGCGGUUGAGAACUGCCUGUGAGAGGGCGAAGAGGACUUUGUCAUCGACUGCUCAGACGACUAUUGAGAUUGAUUCCUUGUAUGAAGGGAUUGAUUUCUAUGCUACGAUUACCAGGGCAAGAUUUGAGGAGAUGAA
rnacentral:misc_RNA from 1 species